GGAAACUCCCUUGCUUUAUCCUUGCUGCAGAUGCCAGUCCAGCCCUGUUUCUGCUUCUGUCACACCGACAGGAUCAGGCUCUACGCUCAAGAGCAAGCUGCAGGGACAUGUUCUGGAUUCCCAUGGGUGUGAAGGAAGACCAUGACUGAAGAAAUAAAGCAACAGUCAAGUUUGCCUUCAAUGACCUUAUAAAAGAAAUCUUUAAUUACCUGCACCAUACUGACUUAUGAUAAGGCAAUGGGAAUAAAGCAAGACUACAUCAGGAGAGGCUACACUACAUUGGACAUGCUCUGAGUCUGAAAAGCCAAACCUCAUUCACAGCUGGAAUCUCUGCAGGCAUGUGUGGCUGGUACUCACAGGUCCCCGAACAGCUGUGCGCAGCUUCCUACCUGAGGGGGGCUUCCUGCA